UACGGAAGGCAGCAGUGGGGAAUAUUGGACAAUGGGCGCAAGCCUGAUCCAGCCAUGCCGCGUGUGUGAAGAAGGCCUUCGGGUUGUAAAGCACUUUUGUCCGGAAAGAAAAGCUUAGGGUUAAUAACCUUGAGUCAUGACGGUACCGGAAGAAUAAGCACCGGCUAACUUCGUGCCAGCAGCCGCGGUAAUACGAAGGGUGCAAGCGUUACUCGGAAUUACUGGGCGUAAAGCGUGCGUAGGUGGUUUGUUAAGUCUGAUGUGAAAGCCCUGGGCUCAACCUGGGAAUGGCAUUGGAAACUGGCUUACUAGAGUGCGGUAGAGGGGUGUGGAAUUCCCGGUGUAGCAGUGAAAUGCGUAGAUAUCGGGAGGAACAUCUGUGGCGAAGGCGACACCCUGGACCAGCACUGACACUGAGGCACGAAAGCGUGGGGAGCAAAC
rnacentral:rRNA from 1 species